rnacentral:rRNA from 1 species
GUGGGGAAUAUUGGACAAUGGGCGAAAGCCUGAUCCAGCCAUGCCGCGUGUGUGAAGAAGGUCUUCGGAUUGUAAAGCACUUUAAGUUGGGAGGAAGGGCAGUAAGUUAAUACCUUGCUGUUUUGACGUUACCAACAGAAUAAGCACCGGCUAACUUCGUGCCAGCAGCCGCGGUAAUACGAAGGGUGCAAGCGUUAAUCGGAAUUACUGGGCGUAAAGCGAGCGUAGGUGGGUUGGUAAGUUGGAGGUGAAAUCCCCGGGCUCAACCUGGGAAAGGCCUCCAAAACUGCAUGACUAGAGUACGGUAGAGGGUAGUGGAAUUUCCUGUGUAGCGGUGAAAUGCGUAGAUAUAGGAAGGAACACCAGUGCGAAGGCGACUACCUGGACUGAUCCUGACACUGAGGUGCGAAAGCGUGGGGAGCAAACAGGAUUAGAAACCCCUGUAGUCC